rnacentral:rRNA from 1 species
AGAGUUUGAUCCUGGCUCAGGAUAAACGCUGGCGGCGUGCCUAUACAUGCAAGUCGAACGAGGAGUUUUUGUAGCAAUACGGGAACUUCCUAGUGGCGAUCGGGUGAGUAACGCGUUGGUGACCUGCCCCAAGGAGAGGAAUAACUCCGGGAAACUGGAGCUAAUACCUCAUGUGGUUACCAGGGUUCGAGACCUGGUAUCUGAAGGAGUAAUCCGCUUUGGGAGGGACCUGCGUCCCAUCAGCUAGUUGGUAGGGUAACGGCCUACCAAGGCUACGACGGGUAGGGGGCCUGAGAGGGUGGCCCCCCACACUGGAACUGAAACACGGUCCAGACACCUACGGGUGGCAGCAGUAGGGAAUAUUGCACAAUGGGCGAAAGCCUGAUGCAGCAACGCCGCGUGAACGAUGAAGACCUUCGGGUUGUAAAGUUCUUUUCUGAAGGACGAGGAAGGACGGUACUUCAGGAAUAAGGAUCGGCUAACUACGUGCCAGCAGCCGCGGUAAUACGUAGGAUCCGAGCGUUAUCCGAAUUUACUGGGCGUAAAGCGCGUGCAGGCGGUUUGGUAAGUUGGAUGUGAAAGCUCCCGGCUCAACUGGGAGAGGCCGUUCAAUACUGCCAGACUUGAGGACGGUAGAGGGAGGUAGAAUUCCCGGUGUAGUAGUGAAAUGCGUAGAUAUCGGGAGGAAUACCAGUGGCGAAGGCGGCCUCCUGGACCGUUCCUGACGCUCAGACGCGAAAGCUAGGGGAGCGAACGGGAUUAGAAACCCCGGUAGUCCUAGCUGUAAACGAUGCGAACUUGGUGUUGGUGGGGUAAAAUCCGCCGGUGCCGAAGCUAACGCGAUAAGUUCGCCGCCUGGGGACUACGGCCGCAAGGUUAAAACUCAAAGGAAUUGACGGGGCCCCGCACAAGCAGCGGAGCGUGUGGUUUAAUUCGUCUACGCGAAAAACCUUACCCGGGUUUGACAUAUAGGUAGUAGGGAUUCGAGAGAUGACCGACCCUUCGGGGAGCCUAUACAGGUGCUGCAUGGCUGUCGUCAGCUCGUGCCGUGAGGUGUCCGGUUAAGUCCGGUAACGAGCGCAACCCUCGCUGUAUGUUACAAGUGUCAUACAGGACUGCCGGUAUCAAGCCGGAGGAAGGCGGGGAUGACGUCAAGUCAGCAUGGCUUUUAUAUCCGGGGCUACACACACGCUACAAUGGCCAAUACAAUGGGUCGCAAAGCCGCGAGGUGGAGCCAAUCCCCAAAAUUGGUCUCAGUUCAGACUGCAGGCUGCAACCCGCCUGCACGAAGCCGGAGUUGCUAGUAAACGCGCGUCAGCAUUAGUGCGUUGAAUACGUUCCCGGGGCUUGUACACACCGCCCGUCACGUCAUGGGAGCUGGUAACACCUGAAGCCGGUAUCCUAACCCGUAAGGGAGGGAGCUGUCGAAGGUGGGACUGGUGACUGGGACGAAGUCGUAACAAGGUA